AUGUCCGAGGAAUCUCUUGUGCAUGUUGUCUCUAGUGAGGAGGACGGAAGAGAAAGGAAAAGGAAAAAGAACAAGAGGCCAAGAGCCAAUGGUCCCGUUAGGAUGUCGUCCAAUGUUUGGGCCCAUUUUCACAAGGUCAAGGAGCUAGAAUAUAAGAAGACUGGGGAGAUUGUGUUGAAGGUUGUUUGUAAUUAUUGUAUCGAUAAGAAGUAUGCGUAUACGCAAGGUGGCAGCACCUCAACUAUUGGAAGGCAUCAUUUAAAAUAUAAGAAUUACAAGUCCAAGAUGGCUAGGGAUGCCAUCCAAACAACGUUGGAAUUGCGCAAAAUCAAUGGUACAACAAGUGGUCCAACAAUGCACCCCUCUAUUGAAGACCAAGGAAUUUUCAAGGAGCUUAUUGCUAAGAUGAUAUGUGUGCAUGAGUAUUCAUUUAGAAUGGUUGAACAUGAGUAGUUCAACAUUCUAAUGAAGUGCAUGAAUCCAAAUUAUAAACCCAUUGGAAGGAAGACAAUACAAGCCGAGUGCAUGAGGGUCUACAAGAAAGAAAAAGAGGUGCUUAAAUCUGUAAAGGGUGUGAGCUCCAUAUGUCUAACUAUAGAUUUGUGGACAAACAACCAAACCUUAUCUUACAUGUGUGUGGUUGCACACUAUAUAGAUGGGAAUUGGAAUAUGCAAACCUGUGUCCUUGCUUUCAUAGAGUUACACCUGGAUUGUGAAACAAGGUGGAGCUCAACCUAUAAGAUGAUUAGCAAUGUCCGUGAUUGUAAGGAAGCCUUGACCUCUCUUGCUAGUUCCAAUGCCAACUAUGCUUGGGCGCCGACAAACGCAGAGUGGGACAUGUAUGACCUUAUCUCUCCAUUACUUGAGAGUUUGGCUGAGGUGACAAACGCAUUUUCAGGAAGUUUAUAG
rnacentral:rRNA from 1 species